rnacentral:misc_RNA from 1 species
GAUGAAGAACGUAGCGAAAUGCGAUAAGUAAUGUGAAUUGCAGAAUUCAGUGAAUCAUCGAAUCUUUGAACGCAUCUUGCGCUCCUUGGUAUUCCUUGGAGCAUGCCUGUUUGAGUAUCAUGAGCAAAUCUCAAAGUCAAUUCCUUUUGUUGAUUCAAUUGGUUUUGCUUUGGACUUGGAGGCCUUGCAGAUUUCACAGUCUGCUCCUCUUAAAUGCAUUAGCUGGAUCUCAGUAGUUAUGCUUGGUUCCACUCGGCGUGAUAAGUAUCACUCGCUGAGGACACUGUUAAAAAGGUGGCCAGGAAAAUACUGAUUGAACCGCUUCUAACGGUCUAUUAAGUUAGACAAUUACCCUUAAGUUUGAUCUCAAAUCAGGUAGGACUACCCGCUGAACUUAAGCAUAUCAAUAAGCGGAGGA